ACAAAAUCCAAACACACAUCCAGAUAAUCAAUCAGAUCCUCAUCCUCCGUAUCCCUCAGCGGCACCGCCAUCCGCACCGUCUUCAACUCCUCCCCCGCCAGCUCCAUCGAGUACAAGAUCUUGUCCGGCGCCAACGCCUUCUUUGUUGACGCCUCCUCCUCCCUCACAAACACCUUCCGCAACUCCUUCGUCGGUAUCGAGAGCCCCG
rnacentral:misc_RNA from 1 species